AAAAUGUAAAUAGCUCAAAUCAAUUGACUGUGACUUUUUACCAAAGUAAUAGUACAAACUUUUAAUGGUAGUGCAGCACACGAAUAUUUUGUGUUUCCAUGUUAUAUAAGGAUAUAAAGACUGACACCAUUAAUAGAUAGAUCAUCGCAACUGCAUAGAGUGGAGAUGAAAUCAUUGAUUUUGCCUGCGGUCCUGAUAUUAAGCCGCAUUCUUAUAAGCAAAGCUCAGGAUAUCUGCGAUGACGGCUGGAUACGAUUUGAAGAUUAUUAUAGUAGCGGUGUCUGUGUACUUGUGAGGAAGGAACCAGCAGAAUGGAAGGUCGCCAUGAAAUACUGUGAAGAAAGAUUAGGAAAUCUCCUGGUCUUGGACAAUUACGGAGAAUUGAGCUACUUCGAACCCAGAGAAGACAGGACAAUAUCUUUAGGAGAAGAAAUAGUUGGAACUUAUUCCAUAGAAGAAUUUUGGUCCGGUAUGCACAUAGAUAACGGAAGACUGAUGUGGGAUGAUUAUGGACCAAAGCUCGUAGAAAAAUCGAAAUUUUUUGGCAGCCGAUUUUGGAGAUGGAGUAAUGGUCAACCCGAUCCAAUGGCGGGAAAGUGCGGGAAAGCAACAGUGACCAAGAGGCAGACGGACGGUGGAGUGACCUAUGAUUAUAACAAGGUUUCAGUCAACCUUACACGCUGCUCUACCGAACUACCAUUUGUAUGUCGAAAGGAACCGACAAGGCGGAUCGUAAAAACAGCUGCAUUUUGUCCUGAAAGUUGGCUUGGGAACCAGUAUAUACCACACUGUUACCGGAUAUACAAGGAACCAGUUACCUACGACAAGGCCAAAGCCAGAUGUCAGGAGGAAGAUAGUAGCCUGGCGCCCUCUAACUCCCUGUUUGAUUUAACCUUCGCGGAGAUUGUGUAUAUGUUUUAUCUGGAGAACGAUAAAUAUUUUGAGCUGACUAACGUAGGCAGUAUUUGGGUAAUGGAUACGAAUUCAACAAAAGCGUGUAGUGCGUUAGAUACAUCACCGUCUGAAAGAAGCGGGUCCGCAGUCACGGACACAGAUUGUCUUGCAUCUUUAUUGUUUAUGUGUGUGAAGUCGACAAAGUACGCCGGUUUUGGAUAUAUAGAGACUGAAAGUGAUUACUUUGAUCAAAAGAAAUUAUUGGAAUAUGACGCAUUCAAACCACUUCCGGUCUACGGUGUCCUCGAUCGAAAUCUUCAAGAAAACGAGGUCAUCUUCGUACGAACGCCAUCAUUCAUUCUUAAUUCAUCAAAUUCGUAUUACCAGUGGAAUUUCGACAAUACACUUUCGUGGAGGGUUCAAGAAUCGUCUAGAGUUUCGACACCAUAUUAUGUGAAUCUAACUAUUCCUUUCAACCAGAGCCCACUGCGGCGUCGGCGUGGCGUCGACGGUAAUUAUGCUUAUGGUUCCGAGAUACAUAAACGUCAGGCUGAUGAGUUUGGCACUACUCCAAAUCCGUUUGAUGAAGGUGAAGUAUUCCGAUUCAUAAAUUAUUACAACGUCCGGGAGACUACUGGAUACUACACAUUCGGAAUUUACAACACGAAUCCUCCAAGAUAUUUAGAAAGAAAACCGCAGCUGGUUCGAUAUUCCGAGAAAGAUCUUUACAUCUAUGUGGCGUACUGCGACUUUUUGGACUAUGUUGUCGGUCCUUCUUCGACAGAGCCAUUCGUUUCAACAGAAGAUAUCAAUGCUUUCAAUCUGUUACAUGACGACAGUUACAUAGGAAGUAUUCGGGAGAUGGGACUCAGUUCCGUAUUAAAUCGUUCUCCAGUUGUUCUUGGUAAUCUUGUCGCUAACUACAGUGCAAAGAUCGAAUCUUUUGAGGGUAACACGGUCAAGUUCCGGGUAUUCGUUGCUCCGUCGGCAAGUCGUCAGCAAUCAGCGGCUUACCGAGCAAUUUGUAUACGACGCUGUAAAGGAGCAUUUCAAAUUGAAUCUACCGAGUGAUUACUUCAAGCUGAGAACAUUAAAAGUUAAAAGCACCGUUAUGUGUCGUUUACACAGACGGUUAAAGAUGGGAAGAAUUUGACAUUUAAUCCAAUCAGAAUCGGCGAAACUGGUUUCAGUUGGGAAAGGUGUUAUCCAGAUAACAAAGCGUUGGCAACUUCCACGUGCAGAGGAGGAUAUGAUGACGGUACAGCGUUACGGGAUAUUUCAUUGGCCGAAAAUUGUGGUAGCCCUCCUGUUUACAACAAAUCAGAAAGCACCGCUAAUUUGAAAAACCUGUCUGAGACCGAAAUAACGAAGGACAAUUUUGAGACGGUUCUAAACGACACGGCCAACCUGACUCGUCCGGGUUUAACCCUAACAGAAGCCGAUGUCAUCUAUACAGCAGAAAUAUUAUAUAAUUAUCUACAAUUCGAUAUUGUUAAUACCCC
rnacentral:misc_RNA from 1 species